ACUGUGCGAAGGUAGCAUAAUAAUUAGUUUUUUAAUUGAGAACUGGUAUGAAUGGUUGGACGAGAUAAUAGCUGUCUCAAUUUAAUUUAAAUUAGAAUUUUAUUUUUAAGUUAAAAAGCUUAGAUUUUUUUAAAAGACGAGAAGACCCUAUAGAGUUUUAUAUUAAGGUUAAAUUUAAUUUAUAAAGUAUUGUAUUUAUUUUAUUUAAAUUUAGUAUUUUAUUGGGGCGAUAUAAAAAUUUAAUAAACUUUUUAUUUUUUAUUACAUUGAUAUAUGAUUGAAUGAUCCAUUAUUUAUGAUUAAAAGAUUAAAUUACCUUAGGGAUAACAGCGUAAUUUUUUUUUAGAGUUCUUAUCGAAAAAAAAGUUU
rnacentral:rRNA from 1 species